CAAGAGUGCAGGACCCUAACUGCCACCUGACGCUCGUCAACUUUGACCAUGGGGGACUCUUCUGUCUGACAACAGAAUUAGGAAAAUACGCCUGCUCUCUCUCCUUCGACCCAGACACCCUGCACCCAGAGCUCUCUCUGUCAGAGGACAAGAGUAGCGCCACCUGCAGAGGGGAGGUGCACACGUACCCCGACCGCCCCGAGAGGUUCACCCUGUGCCCUCAGGUGCUCUGCGCCGAACCCCUGUCGGGGCGCUGCUACUGGGAAGCGGAAUGGUCCGGAUGCAAAGCGCUUCUCGGAGCGGUGUACAAGUGCAUCGAGCGCAAAGGGUCGGCCGACGUGUCCGGGAUCGGAGCGAACGGCUCCUCCUGGGCGCUCGAGUGCUCCACAAUUUCCGGCUACAAGGCCUGGCACGAGGAGAGGAGGGUGGAGAUUCUGGUGCCGCGAGGGCAGCCGCGACGUGUCGGCGUGUUCCUGGACCGGCCGUCGGGGACGCUGUCCUUCUACAGCGUGUCAUCCGCCUCCGGACAGCUCACGCACCUGCACAC
ensembl:lncRNA